rnacentral:misc_RNA from 1 species
AACGCACAUUGCGCCCCUUGGUAUUCCGGGGGGCAUGCCUGUUCGAGCGUCAUUUAUACCAAUCUAGCCUGGCUAGGUGUUGGGCUUCGCCGUCUCGGCGGGCCUUAAAACCAGUGGCGGUGCUCUCAGGCUCUACGCGUAGUAAUCUUCUCGCUAUAGGGUCCUGGGAGGCGCUGGCCAGCAACCCCCCAUUUUUCUAGGUUGACCUCGGAUCAGGUAGGGAUACCCGCUGAACUUAA